rnacentral:rRNA from 1 species
UACGUAGGGUGCAAGCGUUAAUCGGAAUUACUGGGCGUAAAGCGUGCGCAGGCGGCUAUGCAAGUCAGAUGUGAAAUCCCCGGGCUUAACCUGGGAACUGCAUUUGUGACUGCAUGGCUAGAGUGCGGCAGAGGGGGAUGGAAUUCCGCGUGUAGCAGUGAAAUGCGUAGAUAUGCGGAGGAACACCGAUGGCGAAGGCAAUCCCCUGGGCCUGCACUGACGCUCAUGCACGAAAGCGUGGGGAGCAAACAGG